AUCGAUGAAGAACGCAGCGAAAUGCGAUAAGUAAUGUGAAUUGCAGAAUUCAGUGAAUCAUCGAAUCUUUGAACGCACAUUGCGCCCUCUGGUAUUCCGGAGGGCAUGCCUGUUCGAGCGUCAUUUCACCACUCAAGCCUGGCUUGGUAUUGGGCGCCGCGGUGUUCCGCGCGCCUCAAAGUCUCCGGCUGAGCUGUCCGUCUCCAAGCGUUGUGAUUUCAUUAAUCGCUCUGGAGCGCGGGCGGCCGCGGCCGUUAAAUCUUUCACAAGGUUGACCUCGGAUCAGGUAGGGAUACCCGCUGAACUUAAGCAUAUCAAUAAGCGGAGGAAAAGAAACCAACAGGGAUUGCCCUAGUAACGGCGAGUGAAGCGGCAACAGCUCAAAUUUGAAAUCUGGCGCAAGCCCGAGUUGUAAUUUGUAGAGGAUGCUUCUGGGUAGCGACCGGUCUAAGUUCCUUGGAACAGGACGUCAUAGAGGGUGAGAAUCCCGUAUGUGACCGGCCCGCACCCUCCACGUAGCUCCUUCGACGAGUCGAGUUGUUUGGGAAUGCAGCUCUAAAUGGGAGGUAAAUUUCUUCUAAAGCUAAAUACCGGCCAGAGACCGAUAGCGCACAAGUAGAGUGAUCGAAAGAUGAAAAGUACUUUGGAAAGAGAGUUAAAAAGCACGUGAAAUUGUUGAAAGGGAAGCGCCUGCAAUCAGACUUCGCGGCAGUGUUCCGCCGGUCUUCUGACCGGUCUAUUCUCUGUCGCGAGGCCAUCAUCGUCUCGGCCCGCUGGAUAAGACCUUGGGAAUGUAGCUCGCCUUCGGGAGAGUGUUAUAGCUCAUGGUGAUGCAGCGAGGCUGGGGCGAGGUCCGCGCUUCGGCAAGGAUGAUGGCGUAAUGGUUGUCGGCGGCCCGUCUUGAAACAC
rnacentral:rRNA from 1 species